AGAGAUGUGUGAUGACGCAUAUCAAUAAGCGGAGGAAAAGAAACUAACAAGGAUUCCCUUAGUAACGGCGAGUGAAGCGGGAAGAGCUCAUAUUUGAAAUCUUCAAGGUUCUACCUUGACGAAUUGUAGUUUAUAGAAGUGUUUUCUGUUAGUGGAGUGGCAAAAGUUCUUUGGAAUAGGACAUCAUAGAGGGUGAGAAUCCCGUAUUUGACCAUUAUUUUCAGCUGUGUGAUACACUUUCAAAGAGUCGGAUUGUUUGGGAAUGCAGUCCAAAAUGGGUGGUAAAUUUCAUCUAAAGCUAAAUAUUGGCGAGAGACCGAUAGCGAACAAGUACCGUGAGGGAAAGAUGAAAAGAACUUUGAAAAGAGAGUUAAACAGUACGUGAAAUUGUCAAAAGGGAAGCGUUUGACACCAGUGUUGUUUUUCCGAAAAUCAAUUACGAAUGUUUUGUUUUUGAGGAGUUAUGACUUCAUCGGCUUGCUCCUUUCUUUAUGAAACUUUCUUAAUGCACUUUUCGGUUAACAAGUCAACAUCAAUUUCUUUUGUUGUAAAAGGGUAUGAGGAAGGUGGCUUUCUUUUCGGAGAAAGUGUUUAUAGCCUUGUGCCUCUGCAAUCGGAGAGAUUGAGGUCUGCAGCGUAGAUCCUUCGGGGUUAGAUACAGUUUGUGCUAAGUUAUAGCCUUUCAUAGACAACUUGUUGACUAUGUUUAGUCUUGUAGCUUACUCGCUAGAUGCUAUUUUACCUACGCUUAGGAUGUUGAACUCUAUCACACACAG
rnacentral:rRNA from 1 species